rnacentral:rRNA from 1 species
UAUCUCUGUAGAGUCUGCAUAUCAAUAAGCGGAGGAAAAGAAACUAACAAGGAUUCCCUUAGUAACGGCGAGUGAAGCGGGAAGAGCUCAAAUUUGAAAUCUUCAAGGUUCUACCUUGACGAAUUGUAGUUUAAAGAAGUGUUUUCUGUUAGAUGAGUAGCAAAAGUUCCUUGGAAUGGGACAUCAUAGAGGGUGAGAAUCCCGUAUUUGGUUAUUCAUUCUAGCUUUGUGAUACACUUUCAAAGAGUCGGAUUGUUUGGGAAUGCAGUCCAAAAUGGGUGGUAAAUUUCAUCUAAAGCUAAAUAUUGGCGAGAGACCGAUAGCGAACAAGUACCGUGAGGGAAAGAUGAAAAGAACUUUGAAAAGAGAGUUAAACAGUACGUGAAAUUGUCAAAAGGGAAGCGUUUGACACCAGUGUUGUUUUUCCGAAAAUCAAUUACGAAUGGCUUGAUUUUGUGUUGUAUUGACCUUAUCAGCUUUCUUCACUUUUUUCGAGUCUUUCUUAAUGCACUUUUCGGUUAACAAGUCAACAUCAAUUUCUUUUGUUGUAAAAGAGUAUUCGGAAGGUGGCUUUCUUUUCGGAGAAAGUGUUUAUAGCCCUAUACUUCUACAAUCGGAGUAGAUUGAGGUCUGCAGCGUAGAUCCUUCGGGGUUAGAUACAUUUGUGCUAAGUUGUAGCUUUUCAUAGACAACUUGUUGACUAUGUUUAGUCAUGCGGCUUACUCGCUUAUGCUAUUUUACCUACGCUUAGGAUGUUGACUGAUAUGUAGUCGU